AUUUCUUUGGCUUUCACUUUAAUUGUUAUUGCUUCCAUUCUUUUGCUUAUUUGGGGUCUAACUUGCUUUUAUUUUUCUGACUUUUAAGAUGAAAGCUGAGGUUACUGAUUUGAAAUCUUUUUUUCUCCAAAUGAAAGUAUAUAAUGGUAUAUAAUUCCUCCUAAGUACCAUUUUACCUACAUCCACAAAUUCUGAUAUGCUGUAGUUUCAUUUUCAUUCAGUUGAAAAUACUUCCUAAUUUCUCUUUUGAUUUCUUCUUUGACCUGUGGGUUAUUCAGAAUGUGUCAUUUAGUUUCUAAAUACAGAUUGCGCAUCCCUAAUCCAAAAAUCCAAACUUUGAAAUGCUCUAAAACCUGAAAUUUUUUUCAGUACUGACAUGAUGUUCAAAGGAAAUGUUCAUUGGAGCAUUUUGGAUCAGGAAAGGGAUGCUCAACCAGUAAGUAUAAUGCAAAUAUUCAAAAAUCUGAAAGCAAAAAUCCAAUACAUUUACGGGCCCAGGCAUUUUGGAUAAAGGAUCUCAACCUGUAUUUGAGAGGGGUAUGGGAGUUUUUUCUGUUACUGAUCUCUAAUUAAAUGUCCUUUUGGUCAAGAAAUAUACCUUGUAUGGCUUAAGAACUCUUAAAUUCAUUGAGACUUGUUUGAUGCCCCAUAAUAUGACUUAUCUUGGUAAACAGUCCAUGUGCAUCUCAAAAGAACAGGUAUCCUGUUGUUCUUGGACUGAGUGUUCUACAAAAGUGAGUUUGAUUGAGUUGUGUUCUGCAAAUCUUCAGUAUCUUUACUGAUUUUCUGGAUAUUAAUACUUGUUCUAUCAGUUAUUGAGAAAGGCUAUUGAAAUCUCGUGUAUUUGUGUAUUUCUCCUUUGAGUUCUAUUUUUGCCUUAUGUAUUUUGAAGUUCUGUUUUUUUGAUGAAUAGAUAUUUAGAAUUUUUGUGUUCUCUUUGUGAAUUGACUCCUUGGUGGUUUUGAAAUGACCUUUAUUUCUGGGAUUAUCCUUUGAUUUGAAAUUAUUAUGAUAUUAGUAUAGCCACUUCAGCUUUCUUUGACUCCUGUUAAAUAAUAUAUAUUUUUACAUUCUCUCUCUUCACGUGUAUGUAUCUGUCUAUUUAAAGUGCAUUUAUUGUACACAGCAGGUAGUCGGAUCAUAAUUUUUUUGAAUCCACUCAGACAAGUUCUACCUUUUAAUUGGAGUGUUUAGAUAAUUAACAUAUAAUGUAAUUGUUGAUAAAGUUUGGUUUAGGUCUCUAAUCUCACUAAGGUCGCCCCCCCCCCAACCUGUUCUUCCCUUUUGCCUCUUCUUAUUACUUCAAAUUACUUUUUCAUUUUACCUUCUUUGUUGGCUUACUAGUUAUAGCUCUUUUUUGUUGUUUUAGAGUAUUUGUUACACGUCUUUAUCAUUCAAGUGAUAGUAUGCAACUUCAUGUAUAGCAUGAGAAUCUACUUCCAUUUCUCCCUUCGCAGACUUUAUGCUGUUGCUGUUUUUACAUUUUGCUUUUACAUGUUAAAAUACAUCCACAAUACCUUGUUACAAUUUUGUUUAAUUGGCCAAAUUUCUUUUAUAGAUAUUUCCAUCAUAAGAAAACUAUCUCGCCUGUUUAUGCUCGUAGUUAAUACUUCCGUGCUCCGUUCCUUUGUGUAGAUCCAUAUUUCCUUCUGGCAUCAUUUUCCUUCUGCCUGAAGGACUUCUUUUAAUAUUUCUUGGGCAGCCAAUCAUCUGGUGGUAAAUCCUUUCACCUUUUGUGUGUCUUUCACCUUUUGUGUUUUGCCCCUUUUUUGAAGUAUGUAUCUAGAUCUAGAUAUAUAUAUUUUUUGAGACUGAGUUUCGCUCUUGUUGCCCAGGUUGGAGUGCAGUGGUGCAAUCUCAGCUCACCGCAACCUCCGCCUCCUGGGUUCAAGUGAUUCUCCUGCCUCAGCCUCCCAAGUAGCUGGGAUUACAGGCAUGUGCCACCACACCUGGCUAAUUUUGUAUUUUUAGUAGAGAUGGGGUUUCUCCAUGUUAGUCAGGGUGGUAUCGAACUCCCAACCUCAGGUGAUCUGCCCACCUCGGCCUCCCAAAGUGGCGGGAUUACAGGCGUGAGUCACCACGCCCAGACUGAAGUAUAUUUUUACUGGCUAUAGAUUUCUAGGUGGACAGGAUUUUCCUUUUCUUUCAGUAUGUUAAAGACAUUGCUUCACUGUCUUCUCACUUGUAUUGUUUCAGAUGUCAUCCUUCUCCUUCUGUUUUUUUUUCCUCAGUCUGCUUUUAACAUUUUCUCUUUAUGUGACUGGGUUUGAGUAAUUUGAUUAUGAUGUGCCUUGGUUUGGUUUUCUUUGUAUUUCUUGUACUUGGAGUUCAUUGAGAUUUUUGGACAUGUGAGCUUACAGUUUUCAUCAAAUUUGGAAAACUUUCAUCCCUUUCUUUUGUCAGAUAUUUUUAAUGUCUGCUUUCUCUCAACUCUCCUUGUAGACUCAGAUUACUUGUAUAUUUGGCCAUUUGAAGUUGCCUUACAGCUCACUAAUGUGUUUUUUUCUUCCUUUUUUAAAGUCUCUGUUUCUCUAUUCCAUUUUGAAACACAGUUCACUCAUCUUUUCUUCAGUGUUUAAUCUGCCGUUAAUCCCAUCCAGUGUUUUCUUCAUCUCAGACAUUGUAGUUUUUAAUCUCUAGAAGUCCGUUUCGGAUCUUUCUUAGAUCUUCCAGGUCUCUGCUUGUCUUGUGGAACAUACCAAAUACAGCGAUAAAUAACUUUUUUGAGUCCUUGUCUGCUAAUUCUAGCAUCUGUAUGAUUAUUUUCUACUUCUAAAGUGAGGCCUCUCCUAGUCCUCUACCCAAGACCGUGAAUUGUGAGUAUUUUCGGUCUGGCUGGUAAGGACAGGCACUAUUCCAAGCCUUUCAUCUUUUUGGAGGGCUCUUUGUCUGGUAGUUUCUUCACUCAUGUGCAUUGAUCAUCACUGGAUACUCAAGAGGGACCUCUGCAGAUCUCUUUGACUCCUGUUAAAUAAUAUAUAUUUUUACAUUCUCUCUCUUCACAUAUAUGUAUCUUUCUAUUUAAAGUGCAUUUAUUGUACACAGCAGGUAGUUGGAUCUUAAUUUUUUUUGAAUCCACUCCGACAAGCUCUACCUUUUAAUUGGAGUGUUUAGAUAAUUAACAUAUAAUGUAAUCGUUGAUAAAAUUUGGUUUAGGUCUCUAAUCUCACUGAGGGUUUUUUUCCCCUCACCUGUUCUUCCCUUUUGCCUCUUCUUACUACUCUCUCUCUGCAGCUCAUUCCUCUUUGCUACUCUUUACGGUGAAUUCUAAUGGCCCUCGCACUCUCAGCUCAGGGAGUAUACUGGGUCCUGCCUGGUGUCCAGCUCCCUGUGCUGUGGCCUGGAAACUCUUUCAGGCCAUGAGCUGUUUUCAGGCAAGAGGACUGUCCAUCUAGGCCAGAGGCAGAAGUCUGCAACUCUUAAUUAUAUUUCCUGUCCCUGGUUCUUUUCUCACAGUGCCUUCUAUUUAUCCAGAGGAAUUCCAGCACCAGCGAUGGUAUGCAAACCUUUAGUGGCACACGUUGACUCAGAUACAGCCCAGAUUCCUUGGCCAUGCUUUCCAGGUCUUCCAUAAACCAUUCUGUUCUUUCUCCUCUCAUUCCCUUCAUUACCUUCAUUUCCAUUCCUACAGAUUUGUUAACUGGAAUUUCUGUACUUCCAUCUCUUUUUGUUGACAGCUUCUCUUUGUUCAGGUUCUCCAUUUCCUGCACAUUUUUAACACAUUUGCAAGUUGUAAAUUAUCUUCUUUCUGCAAACUCCUGUAAAGAUUUAUGUGCACCUCUUUGAUUCAAGCCUUCACUUUCUACCUUGUGUUAACUUAUUUAUGCACAUGUCUUAUCUCCUCCAACCACUUAUAAAUCCCUUGAGGACAGGAUUCACGUCUCAUUUACAUGCUCUUAGAAAUUUACAGUGCGUACACAGUAGGCAAUCCAUACAUGCCCAUUCAGUACACAUUUACUGGCAGUCUUGGGAAUGAACAUCAAAUUAGGUAUUGAUGAAAUUUUGGCCCGAUGAUAAAGAAUAUCUUAGGCUAAAAGUAAUGGGAAAAUUAAAUUGUUUGCAGGAUGUUUCAGCACUACUCCCUACUUAGCUAGAUUUAUCUCCUCUUUCUUCUCUGUGUGUCAGUUUGCAAACAAGAACUGCCCUUUUCUCUUUGAAAAAAAAUGAACACUAAAGGCAGAGAUUUUCAUUUGGCUGUCUUUGUAUUCCCACAACCAAGCAUGGUACGUGGUUCAAGAAAUGGCUGUUUAAUCACAGCAGUAACUCCCAGUAGGAAAGAUUCUCAAAGGAAUUGUUCUUUUAAAAAAAAAAAAAUUCACAAAGUAGGCUGUACCCUCAAAGUGCUAAGGAGAGCUUCUGUCCUCGAAAAUCUCCCUGAAAUACUGAAAGCAUACAAAAAAGGAGAAAGCUCAAAACUAAAUUUUGACUCUCAGUGGCUGGGUUUUGUAUCUCUUUUCUUUAAAAAAAAAAAAAAAAAAAAAAAAAAAAGCCAUUGAAAUGAUUCCACUUCUGAGUUACCUGGAGCAGUCAAAUUCAGAAAGACAGAAAAUAGGUUGGUGGUUGGCCAGGGGCUGGAGCAGGAGGGAACAGGGAGUAAGAGUGUAAGGGGGAUGGAGGUUUAGUGUGGGGAGAUGUGAGAGUUCUGGAGAUGGACAGUGGUUACAGUUGCACAGCAGCAUCAAUGUAUUUAAUGCUGCUGACCUUCAUGGACAUCCUGGUCAUGUGUACAGAAAACUUAGAAGUAAAUUAGGGUUUAAAUCCAGUUCCCUGAGGUUGGGCAAGCUGCUGGUCCUCUCUGAAUCUGUUUUCUUGUCUGUAAAUGGGGCCUGAUGUAUUGAAAGGCACCUGGCUCAGUGCCUGUAACAAUGGACACUCAUGUUCAUCUAGUUCUGUCCCUUUUCAGCUUUACAGAGAGGCUUCCUACUUAGAUGGUUCUCUCUAGCUAUGGGGCUUGGAGAGUAAAUGGGCAGGAGUGGGAGUGUGGGAAGGGGCCAUGCUCUGUUGAUCUCAGCCAGUUGAAGCUGAUGCCUCUGUCCUGGUGUUUAUAAGGGGCUCCAUCACACAUGUACCCGUCCUCUAUUGUGUGGGAGGUACCCCAGGCAAUGAAACGGAGAGGUGUCUCCUGGUGUUGCAGUGGGGAGGAGACCUCUGGACCAGGACGUGCUGUGGGGCGUCAGCUACCAACCUUGUGGUCUCGGGAAAGUGACCUAUCAAGGGGGCAUACAACAGGGACACCACCUUGAAAUCUGAAGUCACUGAGUAGCAGGGGAGGUUGGAGCCUGGGGCACCCCAUGGCCUGCCCUUGGGUUUCAUUUAACUGUGGCCUCCCCAGGAUGUUACACGUCCUGGCCUCCUCCCUGCAGAAGAUGAGGCUUAUUCCCAGUCGGCAGACUGGACUUCUUCAUAAGUGAAAAAUAGUUACAUAAUGGUUAUCUCAUUGGUGUUUAGAUUUCUGAACAAAACGAUGAUCCAAAAUCUGAGUGUGGAGAAACGGAUCCCCAGUGAAGGAGGAGGGAGGGGCCGUGUGCAUGCUCAUGCUGUUUAUCCCAAGCCUGUUUUCCACCCUCCCUGCCCUCCCAUGCAGAGGCCCCGCCCUGUGUCCACUCUACUUCUUAGGAACCUGGCAACCCCAGGGAAUUUUCCUGACAAGUCAGUGUCAUUUUAUGGGUUAUUGCUGUUUUCCCAGAAUAGCCAAUUAGUAUUGAGGAAGUGUCACCUGCUCUUCUCCAUGUUCAGCCCCUUCCUGAGCACACUCAUCAGGUUUAAGGAGCCAGCUGUCCCACCUGCUCAGCUGUGCACCCCUACAGGCUGGGAUCUUGUGAGAUUCAUACCUACUGAGGAGGGUGCUUGCGUUCAGUCAUGGUUGAGAUGGGGCUCUUCCAGCACAGCCCCAAAAUACUUCAAGAGGCGCAGAGGAAACUCGGCCUCCCGAGUGAGCAUCCCCUUGAUCCCAGCAAGGCUGGAGGGAGGCAGUGCUGUGGGUAGUUAGUUGGAGGAACCAAGGGCAUGGCCUCUUUUAUUCUAGUGACAUUCAAGGGCACCAGCUGUUUUGACUCCCAGGAAGCUGUUUUUCCCAUGCUGAGUAGUCUCAUGGCACUGUGUGCCACCACAGUGCUGCCCAGCCCUGCCACCCUGGACUGACCGAUAGAGGGGAGACCACAGCGUCAGCUGCUAACAUGGAAGGACUUGAUUGUGCAAGAGCUGGGUUUCCUGGGAAGUCAGGCACCCUGCUCCUUCACCUCCCCAUAACAGCUGUCCCCAUGGCAGUCUCAUGACAAUAACAAGCCAGCCUUGCUAUUUUGGAAAGCAGUGAGGGACGUGGAGAUCCGAUCUGGACAGUAUUCAUCUCCUGUGUGACCUGGGUGAGUUGCCCACCCUCACAGAGUUCUUUUCACCGAGUUCACAUGGGACUCAAAUGGGAUGCCAUGGUUUUAACCCCUGGCGUGCGUUAGAAUCACCUAGAGGAAUUGAAACAGAGAAAUACCAGUGUCCCAACCCCACCCUCAGGAAUUUGGAUUUAAUUCCCCUGCUGGGUCCCAGGUGGCACCUGAAGGUAUUGAGGUGAUUCUAACGUGCAGCCAAGGUUGAGAAGGACCAAGCUGGACGUUGCGAGAGUGCUCUGGUAAAUUUCGUUUGGUGUUACUCUCAUUACAUUCUCCACUGACUUUGGCAGUGUCUGUGAAUUUUCACAUUUUUCAUGUAAAGAUCUUCAUGACUUUUUUUCUUAACAUUGUUUCCAACAACUACUGCAGGUCAUUUAGCAAGAAUUAGUCAUGGUAGUUCACAGCCCUGAACCCAAACACCCCCAGAUCUUCAGCCUCGCGUGGGGCUUCCAGUGACUUCGUGGAAUGUCAUCAUAGUCCUUCCUUUGGAGAGCUGGAUUUUCUCAGGCACCAUGAGGAUCUGGGCCAAGCUUCUCCAGGGCUGUCAUUGCUUCCUGGUUGGAAAACCCCUAGGUGCCAAAUGCAAGAGGAGAAAGAGUGAAAUUAACCAGCUCACCCAUCAAUAGCAGUCUCAAAAUCAUAGAACUGGGAGCCUGUAAGAAAUCACACAUUUCUGUGAAUGUGUAGAGAAUAACUCCAAAGUUUCACCGUGACAAGUGCAGAAAUUACAUUUAAAUGAGUACAGAAGAAAAUUUCGCCACAAACUGUGUUAGCCAAAGAAGGUUCUGUACAAUGAGACGUAACUGAAUUAUGGGUAAGUUCUGUGUUCCUGCUGAUGCCCUCCCCACUCCGUCUGGGGCUGGGGCUGUCUUGAGCCAGCAUUCCUGUUCAUUCCACCUGAGGACUCCAGUGUGUGGGAAGGAGGAAGAGACUUAAACCCACCUAGGGGCCGGGUGUACAGCAGAAGGAUAGUACCCAUUGAGGGGCCAAUAUAGGUUUCGUAGUGAGAACAUAAUAAUGCAGGUUUAACCAAAAGAAUGUGAUCUUUGAAGACUGUUUGAUCUUAUGCAUGGUUUAUGGUAUUUUGUAAAUGGAAUAGCUUUUCCAAGAAAUUCAAAAAAGUGCCCAUAUGACGCUUCAUGUUUAUAGAUUUAUGAAGUAUUGGUUCUCAGUAUAACCUGGGAAAGAGGCUGGGGAGGUCCGGUCAUCUUCAUUUUCUGAUGAGACAACUGAGAUUUAGUUUAAAUAGUGGUCACAUUGCUAGGAAUUUGGUAGUUCAAGGACAAGACUUACAGUGUUGAAACUCUCAUUUUGGUGCGUUUCAUGUUUUAGAAUUUUUCACAGUAUUUUUACUUUUUAAAAAUUUUUUAUUUUAUAUAUAUUUUUGUGACAGAGUCUCACUCUGUCGCCAGGCUGGAGUGUAGUGGCAUGAUCUCAGCUCACUGCAACCUCCACCUCCCAGGUUCAAGCGAUUCUCCUGCCUCAGCCUCCUGAGUAGCUGGGACUACAGGCACACGCCACCACACCCAGCUAAUUUUUGUAUUUUUAGUAGAGACGGGGUUUCACCAUCUUGGCCAGGAUGAUCUCGAUCUCUUGACCUCGUGAUCCACCUGCCUCGGCUUCCCAAAGUGCUGGGAUUACAGGUGUGAGCCACCACACCCAGCCUAUUUUUACUUUUUAAAUUGAGUUUUCAUUUUGAAAUGAAAAAUGAGAAAAUUCAAAAUUUUUAAAUGAAAACAUUGGUCUUUGCCCAGUAACGAACAUGUGUACACCUUUGCAUUCAUACAGUCCCCUAGAACCAGUAAGUCCUUUCCCUGCAAAGCUGUCCUGAACAUUCAGGGUCCACACAUUGACCACUGAAGGGUAGGAGGAAAGGCAAAGCGAGCUGCACAAAGGGAAGAUGGCCCGUAGCCUUGAAAUGCACUCUUGCUAGCCCUCCCCAUUUUGGUUAUUAUCAGCAAAGAUCAGUGACAUGUUAAUAUAUUCGGCUAUUUUACUGUGAAUAUAAUGGUAAAUUUUAAUAGAAAUUGAGUUAGAUAGCAGUUUCUGAAUCUGAAAGAAAGUGACAUUGCUUGCGAAUGCUCACAGUAGCACUUAACAUUGUGAAGUUCAACUCAAUUUUUAUUUGCUGUUUCACAGAAAGCAAUAAUCCCUCAUAUUUUAUAGUACCAUCUGGGUUACAAAAAUCCCGAUGCGUCUUUGUUGGACAAGCCAGGAUCUCAGGAAGGAGUGGAGGGGAGCUUCAUCUCAGUGGCUUCUGCCCUGAAUUUGAAUUUUUAACAGGCAGCUUUUAAGCAUCCUGUGGCACUCAUCCCAUCUCAGUGUAGCAGAGACAGUAAUGUCUUUCCCUCUAUGGUUGAGAAGGAGCUUCUGAAUGCCCUUUUGGAAGCUGUAGAAAUCUAUGAUACUCAUCGUCAGCAUUCGACCAUGAACUUAAACUCCUAUCACACCUCUAGGUGUGAUAAUAUUUCUCCUUCUGUUACAACAGAGUAAUGUCACACUUGGCACUUUUACUGUCCUCUUGCGAGACUAUCCUCCAAGUGCUGUCUGAGAGUGUUAACUGCUAUUUGGCUCAUUUUUCUGCACCAAGGAGAACAGAAACACAGCAGGCACCAAGAGGAGGUUUAGUGUGCAGUGGGUUGUUCUGAAAGGCAGUGAGUAAAAUGAGGUAUUCCCUGACUUCUGCUUUUGCUACAUGAAGUCAUGAGGUCCUUGAAGCCAGACUUAGGUACCGUUUCUUUCAUCCCUUGCUAGUUCCUAAUCGUAGACACAAACCUUCCACAUCCAUCCAGGCGGAUGGCAGUGCUUCUUGUAGAAAGCAAUGUCACUAAGGCAGUGUCACUAAGGGAAACAGGACAAGGCAACAGUUGUGUUCAGAGUUUUGACUGGCGUCUGAUUGGAAUUAGAAGGAAGAUUAUUUUGCCAUAACCUAGGUACCGUGACCCAAGCUCUUUUGGCAGACCUUGACGUCACAAACCGUACGCUUGCUGGAGAAGGGAAAAGGAGAGUUGCAGCCACUAAGAGAGUCAAGGCUGUGGCCUGCCUGGUGGUGUUUUAUAGGAACUGGCUCAGGGAGGCUGCAUGUCCUUUGUUUUCUGAGGCCUUGUUCCACGUGGCCUCCCACUUGAGGCCAGGAAUAUUGCAGCAAUGCCGAAGAGUGGGUGGACAAAUAGCCUUAUUAUUAACCUAAGUUGGAAACAUGGCUUUUUGAGUGUCUUCAUUCACAGAUGCAGUCACAAAAUAUUAAUACUCUUUUUUUGAACAUGGCAAAACAAAGUAUUCAUUUAAACCUCCUUUGUCCACGUCCAUGGUAAAAGAGCACCUCAGGCAGGGGAGAAAAAAAAAAAAACUGGUCCCUUGAGAAUUACUUUAUCCUUUGCAUUUGCAUAUAGUUUGAAUUCAUAAUUAGGCUAUUUUUAUUGGCUAGCAGCUGUAUUAUCAUAUAAAUCCCUGAAUAUGUAAUUUGGAGUCAUUUAGACCAGUCGUCCCACAGUAACCCUGGGAAGCACGUGAGCAGCGUCAGCGUCUUUCUCGAGGAAGAAAAUGAAGAUGGGGAGUAACUUGCUGCAGGCAGCUUAGCUCCUGCUGUGGUGGAUUGGGUUUUUACGCUAAAGAACAUAGAUACCUGUUCAGUAAUAACUUACAUUGGCAUAGAAUUCAUCUAUUAACAGGAUGUUUUGAGGCCAGACGUGGUGACUCACACCUGUAAUCCCAGCACUUUGGGAGACCAAGGCUGGAGGAUCACUUAAGCCCAGGAGUUGGCAAGACCAGCCUGGGCAAUACAGCGAGACCCCCAGCUCUGCAAAAAAAAUAACAAAAUUAGCCAGGCAUGAUUGUUCAUGCCGGUGGUCCCAGCUACUCAGGAGGCUGAGGAGGGAGGACAGCAUGGGCCCAGGAGUUUGUGGUUAUACUGCACUCCAGCCUGGCAACAGAGCAAGACCCUCUCUCUUUAAAAAAAACAAAACAAAACAAAACAGAACCGGGCGCAGUGGCUCACACCUGUAAUCCCAGCACUUUGGGAGGCCAAGGCAGGCAGAUCACGAGGUCAGGAGUUCAAGACCAGCCAGACCAACAUGGUGAAACCCCGUCUCUACAAAAAAAUACAAAAAUUAGCCAGGCGUGGUGGCGCAUGCGCUUGUAAUCCCAGCCGCUCAUGGGGCUGAGGCAGGAGAAUGACUUGAACCUGGGAGGCGGAGGUUGCAGUGAGCCGAGAUCGCACCACUGCACUCCAGCCUGGGCGACAGAGCGAGACUCUGUCUCAAAAGAAAAAGAAAGAAAGAGAGAAAGAAAGAAAGGAAGGAAGGAGAAAGAAAGAAAGAAAGAAAGAAAAGAAAGAAAGAAAGAAAGAAAGAAAGAAAGAAAAGAAAGAAAGGAAAGAAAGAAAGAAGAAAGAAAGAAGGGUUCCCAUUGUUCUCGCAUUCAUUGUCUGCGUUGGUUGAGUCUGUAGGCAGGGUAGGGAUGAGCAUCUUCAUUUUCUUCAUUUUACACGGAAAAGAAAUCUCUGGUUGAACGUGGUCAGUGACUUGCUUCAGCUGGGAGACUUGGGACUGAAGCUGCCCUCUGUGACUCUGCACUCUGUCCGUGAUACCAGGGAACUGGUGAAUCCAGGAGCCUCCCAUUGUGAUGCUCACUCCUUCUCCUGUCCAUUCAUAUGGGUAAAAAAGGUUUUGUGGCUUAAGUAGCAUCCAGUUUCAUCUCAAGUUUCAGUUCCCAUAAAAUAAACAGAUACUAGGGUAGCAAAUGGUCCCUUAUUAAAUGUCACAGGGGAAAAAGAGAACAAAAAUCAUUUUCUGUACUCUCCAGAAUACAGUUGAGUGUCCCGAUUGCCUCAUACCUCCAGUGAGAACAGCAGCAGCAUUUAUGGGCUAUCUCAGUGAGCCACUUUUCUGUUAAACAAUCCAACACGGAAGUAACACAGGCUGUCCUUUGGGCUCCCCCGCCUGAUCCGCUGAACAGAAUCUCAGUUCUGUUUGACUUACACGGUCGGUGGCAGAGGGAGGAGGGAGAAACUCUUCCAUCUUUAUUCCCAAAUGGGGAUCUCAUUUUGGGUGCAUGUAUGCAAAAUCUGUUCUGUCUCCUCAUGCUUAGUGUGCUAGUAUAUAUUUACUGCUGACUGCAUUUCUUUAUGAGGACUCUUCUGUAGCGUUUUGAUACUGACAAUUUUAUGAAGGCUAUUUCUUGAUAUUUGUUUAUUACUCCUUUAAAAAUGUAUUUUUGUGGCAGCUUCAAGGCAGUUGCAAGAUAGUGUAUUUUUCAAUAGAGAAGUUGGAUUAAAACUUACAGCAACUGUCACCUGGUAACCAGACCCCAUAUAACUGUGUCAACAUUAACCAGUGAUUUAUUGCUUUAAAUUGGAAUCAGCUGAUUUGUGGUUCCACGGCUUUUAACGCUGCAGGAUUAAUCUGGAACCCACUGGUACACAUGAAAUAGUUGUAUUAUCUGCUGUUCUAAGACUGAUGAAAUGUUUAAAAGGAUAGCUGUGUAAUCAGUCCAUUAUCUCCUGGUGUUCCAGCUUAUUCUGUUCCGUGUGGCAGUGUACAAUUUCAAAAAUAAUUAUUCUGCUGUCCUUAAUAUGGGAGCCGAAUGCAGUGACUGAUAAAAACUGCAUUCAGCAAGCCCUUUCCCAAAUUGGGUAGUUCUAUUUUGUUAUCUUCUGAAGGGAAAACAUGGGUUGUGAUGGUCAGACCUCCUAGGAGUCUGGAAGCUUUAGAGCAAGCCCUGGGAGGCAGAACACUUAAUCUGUUGCCAACAUCUUUUUCUGUUUAAUAUUUUGAAUUUUUUGUUUGUAGGUAAACUUGUUUAGACUACACUUUCAUGUACUCAUCUGAACAUAGGUAGACCUCUUGAAAAUAAGGAUAUUGAUGCUUACAGUUUUCUUUUGUUCUGAAAGCAGUCAGAACAUAGCCAUAGUUACAGAAUGUGGGUUUUAAAAAGCAAUCUAGACCAGUGUCCCUUUCUUAGCAUCCUACUUUGACAGCCAGCUAUUGAAGGAGACCCAGAAGGGCAUGGUCAAGUGGUUUGCUUCAGACUUGCAUUCUGUACAAAGCUCAUCCAAAGGAAAAGCGUUGUAGAUUUUUUUGCAUAGACUAGGUAGUCUCUAGGGAUAAUUAUUCUUGUUUACAAAGAUGUUCGUGGCAAUCUAUAGACUGUUAGUGAUGUUUUGAGGAAAACCCAAGACUCAACAUCUUGUAUAUAAAGGAUUGCCCAUGAAAUCACAGUCUGUCUUCAAACUGUAAGUAGAACAUGAGCUUUCCAGUUAAUAGGGAAAACAUAAAACAAUGGAUUUUAUUGCAGGGCAGUCCUGGCCUUGUAUAGACCAAGAGUAGUUGACUUUCCAGGUAACCAUGGAUACCUUAGGAGGAGGGGUUGGUAGGACCUGAGAGGAGGAUGGCAUACAAUUGUAUGACUGUUCUCUAGUGGCGAGAGAUUGUCAAGGAAGAAAUGAACAGUUUUAUUAGAACCCAAGACCAUGAUCUCUGGGACCAACAUCUUUAAUUGGAGACUUGUUAGAAGCCAUUCAGUUAAGAAGACAGUAUGAGAUGCAUCACCUUGUUUCUGCGAUGUUAUCUUCUACUCCCCGAUUCGGUUGCUGGUUAUCUCUUAGGCCUGCUUUUCCCCCCUCUUGAACAUGGAGCUAAUAACUUUCAAACAAAUCUUGAGCCCUCUAGGCAGACACUCUGUUGUUCCUUGAGCCCGGGCCAUCCUUGCUAUUGCUACCUGACCACAAGUGCUGGAAGUAGAUGUCACACCUGCGAGCAGAGAAGGCCCGCAGGUUGGGUAUGGUCUGUGUAGAGCCUGAAUCAGAAGGGUCUGGGCUGGAAAGGAAGAUGGUCAGAUGUUGCCCUCUGCCACCACCCCUUCCCCCAAGUGUGCCUUCUCUUGAAAAAUGUGGUAAAUUCCAUGAAAUUCAUUUCUAGUCACAGUUAAGAGCAGGCCCUCCAGACUCCACUCAGCUUGUCUGUUAUGAGGAAAAAGCCAUCAAUAUUUUAAAAGCUGCUGAGAGGCAAGAAGUUAGCCUCGAUGGCUGGAAAUUAAGAAUUUUUUUUAUUCUAUGCAAAAUCUGUCCAUUGCUUCUCUAAAGCAGCAGCAGGGCUGAGGGAAAGCUUAGCCUAGAACAGGGAUGUGAUGAAGACUAAUAAGAUAAAACCAGUCAGAGUGUUUAAGCUAGAGGUAACCUGGAAGUGUCCUAAUUGGAUGGCCUGAAUUUCUCACCCGGGAGUUUUCCAGAGCAGUUAACACCCAGAUAUGCCCCGGCAUUGAUGUCACAAAACUGGGUCGUGGCAGGGUGCUCCAGAGAGUAGAUUUCAGGGCAGAUCUUCCAGGGACAGAUUUUGUUGACACGCCUUCUGGAUUUCUAGUUGUGGUUGAGAAUGUAUGAUGUGAAAAUUCACCCAAACUUUCCAGAGUUCAACUUAAUGAGAAGAGAAGAGGUUUAGGGGAGUGUAUUAACUCUUUGGGCCCACUAGAGGAGUUUUACAAAUAGUUUUCAAGAACCAGUUCGCCCACAUGAUUUUCAGUCUGCCUACGAAUUUGUUAGGGGUUGCAUUCAUAUUUAUAGGUAGGUAUCUCACAUUCAGCCUCACCUUUGCCUCCAUUCUGUCUAUUAAUUUUUCUUUGUUCCCGUACCAAAAUGCUAAAAGCCUAAGAGCAUGUUCCUACAGCAAAGAUAUGAAUUCCCAACCAAGGGAGAUGAAGAAGUGAAUUGGUUAAAUGUACUGAAUACCAGUUCUCUGUCUUUUCAUAGCACAUCCCUUUGAUAUUUCUUAUACUCUGCAGAAUGUGGGCAUGUGCUUAUUUUCAUGAAUACCUGGAAAGCAUUUUAAAUGAUGGCAGUGCUACCUGGGUACCAAGAGGACUUAAAUGCCACUUGCUGGCUCAUGACUUACCCAGGAACAUGGUGCAGGGUCUCCCUCUUUUCCUUGCCCAGUGGGCACAGAUCUCUGCAAGACAUUUCCAGGUCAGACUUCUGUGCCCCUCUGCAUAGGCCUGCCUGUCAUUUGAUGCUGCUGGUAGGUUGGAGAAGCAGUCCAAGGGGAUGGAGAUAAGCCUCAGCUACUGGGUCAGCGUUUUGAAACCUGCUAGCAAAAGGAAGGGAGAAAAGAUUGAGAAAAAGAAGACGGAAAUUAACUUCUGUGUCAUUGUGGGCUGAGUCGCACCGUACAAGUUGUUUUCCCUCUGAGCAAAUGAAAUUUGAGAAUUGUUCAUCAGUGAGGAUGAAAUGUCAGAUAUUCUUGUCGGGAAGUAUAUUCCUCUCUCAAACGGGUCAGUUUUACCAAGUGGUUUGCUCAAAAAGGUGUUCUCAUCAAGAAAGUGUAAAUGUGGGUUUCAGUGCUUCAAUGGCUUUGUCUACCUGACUUCUCUACAGCAGUUCACCAACUUCUAAUUUUCUGAAACGAAAUUCUAAAACAUACUCACUUUGAUCCUGCUAGUACAUUUUUCUUGUAGCUGUGUUGGGUAGUCCCCUGAAGUGUGAGGCAGAGAUAGCACUGACAUGGGCAGAAUUGUUACUGUUUCACCUGUAUUUUCCUUGUGUGUGUUUUUUAAUCUGUAGGUAUUAGGAUAGGUUUAACUGUCAGUAUUUUCGCAGACCCAAAAAUAUAUUAGGACUUUUAAACACAGAACCCUUAUGGAUAUUGGUGGGUGGCUUUCCUCCAUGUGGUGAUGCAGGGAUCCAGGCUUCUCCAUCUUGUCACUCUACCAUCUCUUUGGUUUUUGUGUGUGUGUGUGUUUUGUUACUUUUUUUGUCACCUGUGUCCAUUCAAAAGGAGAGGAAAGAAAGUAUGGAGGACUCAUAUCUGCUCUGUUAAAAGCUCUGGCUCUUAAGCAGCACAGGUCACUUCCACUUGUAUUUCUUUAGGAAGCCUUUAGUCACGUGGCAAGGGGCAAAUGUGGUUUCACCAUGAGCUCUGUUCCAGUGUUGGCCCUGAGGAAGGAGAGGAUGGACUUCAGCAGACACUGGUAGUCCCUGCAACAGCUGUCCUUUGCUGUGUUGUUUCCCAGGCUUCCUGGAGGAUAAGAAUCCCAGGGAACACUGCCCUAUAGAUGACCAGGCCUUUCGCCUGGAAAGCCUGAGCUGAGGGGCAUGGCUUGGCUCCAAGAAUCCAUGUUUUUGCCAAUGUUCCAGGCAAUUAUCAUCUUCAGGAACAUUUGGGAAAUGCUAUUGUAAGAGGUGAUUAGAUUGUAGAAAGGUAUUUGGUACCUUCGUUGCAGUUUUCUGCUGAGAAUCCUGUGUUGUAAGGAAUGGUGGUGGACUCGGUGGUGAAACGUAACUCCUGGCACCCAUGCUUAACUCUCUUCAGUCUUAAAAUUUGGCCUCACUGCAUAGACAAGAUCAUGACUGUACCAUGUAACACUAAGACAUCUGUUCCUACCUGAAUUUUUCUUGGAGUAGCAGAUUGUUUCAUUGAGUUGACCAAGUUUACGACUCAUUUUGACAGAUGGUGAUUCUAUGGUUUAUAUCAACUACUUGGAAUUUAUCAUCUAAUGACAGCUGUUUAACACAUAGGUCAGCGUAUAAGAUUGACUAGUAAUGAAAUCUUCGGGGCAUUUUUUUCACCUCCUGUCAUAAUGUUGAAUCUUUGGGAAACCUACCACCUUGGAAAUGAAAAGCUUAUAAAUAUAUUGGGUGAACAGCAGUUGAAUUAUUUAUGUGACAAAAAAUUCUUUGUCAUCCCAAAAAGAAAGGAUGGAAAAGUUGUCCCCGAUGGUUUCGGAAGCUGCAGUGAGAUGGACACAGUAUGUGGAGUAUCUGUGGGGUGAGCUUUUCGUAGCAAAUUUGGAUCCUAGACUGCCCUCUCUGAGCUACCCAGUAGUCAGUCAAAUGGGUCAAGUCCUUUUCCACAGUUUGGAAUGUGCUCAGGGAAUCAAACCGACUUUAAUAUUAGCCUGUGACAGUUAUAUUCAGGGAGCUAAGACUUGCUCUCACUAACAUCGAAAGCGUUCCAGCACAUGUUGGAAAGGUGUUUGGGGUAGCCACUGUUUAGACUUGCCUUAGCUAUUGAUCUUCUUGUUAUCGAAUAUAAUUUAGAACUAACAGUGAGACCCUUAGUGGUGGGAGAAUAUUAUUAUCAUUUGUUAUCUGCACAAUUAGGAAGCAGGAGAGUACAGCAGAGGCUUUAUCCUAUAAACCAUCUCGUUGCCUAGAGCAUUUUAGCUCCUUGCAGAGUGGUCUACCACAUGCCUGCCUUCCCACCCCCAUCCUCAUCUCUCUCUCUCUCUCUCUCUCUCUCUCUCUCUCUCUCUCUCUCUCUCUCUGUGUGUGUGUGUGUGUGUGUAAUCCAAACAGGCAUUGGCCCUACAGUCCAAAGGGCUAAAAAGACUCAGAAAUCCAUCCUCAUCCAGUCAUCCAGGGAAGAAAUAGGAGCCUGCAGGGUGUUUCUUUUCUUUUUUCUGAAGGUUUAAUAGAAUCAGUGUCAUUGGCAAUGAUUGAGAAAAAUGAAAGUUUUUAGAUCAAAUACUACUCUAGCGUGCAUGCAGCAUGGGAACAAUUGAUGGGCGGCGUGCUCUUCCUCAGACAAAACCCAGUGGCUGCUAAUCAGUGUGUGGUGUGGAGAGUUUUUUGUUAUCCUGAAAUCAAGGAAAUAUUUUACUUUUCCCUCUGAGGUGUUCCAGAGAAAGAUUCUUGAUCAAAGAAGAUAAAUCCUCUUCCUACCUGCUAAUGAGUGAGCAGCUGGAUUUCAAGCACAUCACGUACAAGGACCAUGUGUUACAUUUUUUUAGUAUCCAUAAUCAGGUACACUUAUUUAAUUUUCUAAAAAUGGAAAGCCAAGCAUUCUCUUUGGUUAGAGACAUGGAGCGGUGAAGAAGUAAGGCAGUGUUUGGCAAGAUGAGUCCACCUAACUGGAAUCAGGCCAGGCUUUAUCGGGAACCAGAGGGGCGACUCUGUCAAGACACCCCCUCUCCAUGCCUCCACUUCUUUAACUGGAAGCAAGAACUUAAACCAGAUGGUUAAGAUCUUUUUUCUGUCUUCCGUCUGGCAUUUAAAGUUGAUCGCUGUCAAAUCUAGAAUGGACCCUUUUCAGAAUUACAAUGUGACUGAAGUUUGUCACUUUCUUCCCAGCCAUCCCCAUUUUGGGGGUCAUCCUUCUUCUUUUAGGACAUCCCCUCUUGCCCCAUGACCCGCGUUCUCACCAUGGAAACUCUUAUCAAACCUAGUGGCCAUAAGAUUCAUUGAUACUACAGCGUAAAUGGUUGGGAAACAGAUUGCGGUGUUGUGUCUUCUGAGGCAUUUUUAUUUUAAUAUGAAUCUGAGCCUCCAACUGAAAGGAUGAAGCUCAGAGGCUGAGUGGAGAGACUGGGGGAGAGGACAGAAGAGGAGGGGCGCAGAGGGUUUGCCCACAUCAGCCCCGUUUUCUUCUUUUGUCCCAGAAUCAUCGUUAACAUUAUCCCCUCCGCUUUCAAAAGGGUCCUCACUUGGAGAAUGAAUUAUUUGAUCACCCUGGAUAUCAAGAAACCCUUCAUACUGCCCCUAAAAUUGUACAGUGGAAGGAAGAAAAGAAGCUAACCUCUUUUCGGUAUUUUCUUUGUGCCAGAUUCUGGGCUUGGCACUGUGUAUACAUUAUUUUACUAAAUGGAUCAAACAGAAUCUAUUUCACCUAGCCAUUAAACCGCAUCUCUCUUAGGCUAGAAGUAACUAUACCAGAGUCAUUUCACAGGAAAUGGGUUGAGAGUGUUGCAUGGACCAUUUUUACCCCUAGGAACCUGAAUCAGAAAGGCUCAUGGAACUCCAAGUUGAAAAGAAAACCAUAUUGCUAUAGGGGAAGGGGGUGUGAAAAUGCUCCGGUGAGAGUCAACCCCCUGAGUAUACAGUAGGAACCUCCGGUGCCUGGCACCACGCCAUGCCUUGUCGGGGGCCGGUGGGGGGACCCAGGAAGCGUAAGAGGUAGCAGCCACCCGCAGAGAGCUGCAUUCCUUAGGAGAACAGGAGCACGGCAGCGGAACCACAGUCAGACGGCAGUGAUCUCCUGCGCUUGAUCCCCGUGUGACAGGAACUCUCAAAAUGAAAUCCAGCUGCUGGAAACCCCUUGGCCAAGAGGUGCCUGACACACAUGGUGGUCUGUGCCCCAGGCUUCCGCCGGACAUCUCCUCCUCCCCGUCCUCAUCGCAGCGUUUAGGACAUCACGUCUUCUUGUGAAGCCCAGUGUUAACUGCUUUUGUUUUUUCUUCCUCUAUUGUUGCUGAGAUAAAGGAAAGUGACCAAUCUGGUUAAACUCGUAUAGUAGUGAAACCUGGGUGUGCUCCUUAGCCGUAGGUUUUAUUUCAAAUAACAAACUGUUUUAGGGAUUUUUUGCCUCUUGGGGGCAUAUCAUAGAGCAUACAGUUGGGGAAAAUUUUGUUGUACCCUGAAUAAGAAAGUCAUGAAAAUGAUUACAUUAAAAUUGAUUGACUAUUUAGAGGUCACGUAAAUGGAUGUUCAGAGUAUUCAAAGGCCAUGCGAAUGGGUGAACUCUGCUAGUUCCAAGUAAUUACUUCAGAAAGCAAGACAACACAAUCAAUUCUAAGCCCUAUUAAAGGGCUCGUGGUCAUCACUUAGAAAAGCGGCUUCCCUACCAGGGAAGCACAGCGGCAGCGCAGCCUGCGGCAGGCCUGUCGCGGCUGCAUUUCCGUAUUGCAUUUGUUAUAAAAGUGGAGUAAAGCUACCUAUCCCUUACCUGCCUCAAAGGGAGCCUGCAUAGUGUCUGUUAGGGCUCAGCGCUCUAUGGAGAAACAUGUUAAAUUUAAAGUGGACAAUAGCUGCUAACAUUUACUAAGCACUCUUAUUUACAUGCCAGGAACUGUGUUAAACAUUUUCAUACGUUGUUUGGCUUAAUGUGAUACAUCUAUAAUAUAGCUGUCACUAACCCCAUGUUAUUAAGAACCAGAGGCUUAGGGAGGUGAGGUCAUCAGCUUGUGAUGCUAAUCAGGAAUGACUGUACCAGCCUCACUGCAAGGAUUAUGAAUGGGCAUGAGAAGACUAUCCAGCAUCACUUUGAAAACUGUCAUGGUAUCUGCCAUGAGAACUCAGGGACCACCUUGGCCCCAAAAGUGAAUUUCUUAAAUGAUUUCCGCUGUUCCAGGCAGUAUGGAGAAAUAUCUCUGUCUCUGAUCUCCGUACACAUGAAAUGCGACUCAGCUAUUGCCGGAGUGGGGUGAAGACAGUUAUAACGGCCAUAAAUAUUAGUUCUCCAGCAUCAUAUCCAACAAGAAAAAACAAUCUACAAUAAGUACAAAUGUUUACUUCAGCCUAGCCUUGGAUUUCUAUAGCCAAAGGGUUUGCCUCUCCAUUUCACUUUGACUGUAAAGACCAGAGUGAGGAAGUAGAUUAUGACGUCCUUAUUCCAUUUCCAGAAAAAAUAACCUUUGUUCUGCUUUGGAUUGCAAAUAACCCUUUUGAGAGUUCAGAGGCACCUAGAACCCUUGAGUAAUAAGUUAGAAUACCACUGAUAGGUGCUCAGGAACAGAGCUGAGCUGUGUUUUAUUCAGGCUAACAAUAAGGGGCCUGCAUUCUUAGUCCAGGGAAUUCAAGCUGAUGCAUCGUCAAAGCAAGGCAGUGAAGUGGAGACUUGAGAGAUCGGCCUGGCCUGGAAGCAUCUAAUAGCCCAGCUUGCUGUGAAUUGAGAAUCGUAGGAAAAUAGAUGUGAUUCUAACCUACCUCUCAUUGCCACUAGCCUCCUAAUUAUAAUGCUAUCCUAUCCUCUACAGAAUCUAUACUAUGAAAUAACCUUAUAUUAGAAACUUUCUUCUAAUGAGGUCCCUCAGUACUUUAGAAACUAAAUCCUUCUUAAUUGGAUUCAAGACAGAACUACCUUACACCUACCGCGUUUAACCCCGUGAUGCCUCCUUGGUGUAUGGGAAGUGAUCUUGGUUUGGUUAGCCUGAAGGCCUGCCUGCUGCUGAGCCACUGGUCUCCACCUCACCAUGAGACCCCAGGGAGACCAGCUGGCCAGGGAGUUGAGCCAAUUAACGUCCACUUUAGGGAAGCCAGACCCUCUAGUUGGCUUGUUACAUUCAACCUGAAGUUUUUCAUUCUUCCUUACCUUCAGAGAAAAAUAUGGUUCUGCUCACUACUUUGGAAUUAGGUUUUGAAAAAUACAAAGCGUGAUAAAUUCUAUGGCUAGCUUAUUAUCUUUCAUUCCUAUAGUCAAGUGACGUUUUCUCUAACAAAGAAGACUCCUUGCUUUCUUCACGUCACCCCCUGGGGGCCUGGACAAAUGCACACGUCACCCUACCUUUCUGAUGCUCAGAGCAGGGUGGGAGAGUUCGUGAAACAGCUGAACACGAUGAUUGUCCCAUCGGGGGAAAAAAGGAUGAUGCUGAAAUUCUUCCAAUGCUUUCAUAGCUAUUAGACAAUUGAAAUGGUUUAACAUAAGUGUCUUAUUUCAAAGAACCAGAGAAGGGGAAAAGCACAUUCCAGCAAUUUUGCCCUUGUUACCUUUUCUAUCUGUGUCGUGCUUUGGUGGAAUUUACAUAAUCAUGGGUGAGGAAGUGUUACAGUAUACACAUAGCUGUGCAUAUUAGGCUGCACUUGCUUUCCCAAGAGGCUUGAAAAUGCAGUCGAUUUAAUCUAGGUCAAAAGGAAAGAAAGAAACUCCAUUUUCCUCGCAGAAAACAGGGAGCUUGCUAGUCUUCACGGGGUCAUGGAAAUAACAGAAGAUGGUUCCUCCAGGGAAAGUCCCCAGGGCAACAGGAGGCUGCCAGGGGCCUGGAUCUUGUGGCCAGUUGACAGAAAGUUGGUCCUAGCGUGUCAAAUGGAGAGUUGGAGGGAAGGUAUGGGGUUGCCAGGGACCCCAGUGAGAUCAUUGUUCCCUCCCGGGCUGAAAAGGUGGCUCAGAUUUGCUGUCUGCGAGGAAUCUUGCAGGGAAAGUGAGGAAGGAUGUUGGUGGAGCAUCGCACGACUGCCUCAGGCGGCCAGAGGGCGGUGCGGGUCCCACGCUGCCAGUGUAAGUUUCCCAGGGGAAUUCCUGGGAUGGCACUUGGUAAUCCAAACCGUGGAGUCCACAUAACUCACAUACGGAAGGCCCGAUGGCAGCAUCGCCCGUCAGCUUCCUAGGCAGUGGCCAGAUGGUGAUACCGCUGACAUCAGGGUGCCAAUUAUAUCAAACUCUAUAAAACUAAGCUAAUUGGAUACGGUUUCCUUAAAAGUAGAUUUCUACAGGAUGAGGCGUUCGUAUUUGGGUAGCUGCUACUCUAGCUAUGGAAGUCCCAUUUUUAGGUGGGGAAAAAAGGGUUGUGUUAGGUGACUGUUGGAGAGACAUUUCAGAUGAGAGGUUUAGGUUAUAAAGAGACAUUUUAGGUGACAUGAACAGAGUGUGAAGCAGAUCUUUCAGAGUGAGGUGGACCCUGUUAGAGGUGGUUCAGGGACAUUCUCCCUAUGAGAGGCAUAGACUUUGAGGGGUGCUCAUCGACUCGUGGUUGCUGGGAUGGUUUUGGCUUUGCUCUUGGCUCCUGGUGUGACUUGGGGGCAGCCUGCUAACCUGUAGACUGGUGUUUUCCCAUCUGUAAAAUGGGAGGGUGUGGGGAGUUAGGCUGGUAGAACUAGUGUAGGGACCAAGAGAAAACCUCCCCUUGGCCCUAUGAAGGUUCACUAAGAGUCCCUGACAAGAGGCACAUCCACAGGAGAAAAGGCACGCAGGUUGAUGAGAUCACGGUUUCUGUGACACAGGCGCCUUCGGGAUGCAGACCCAAAGAUACAGGGGAAAUGGUAUACUUAGGUCCAACAAAGUGUGCCUAGGCUCAUUUGCAUACUUAGGUUCCACAAAGUAUGGUCAGCCAUGUAGUAAUGUGAUUGGACAAAAAGGACAUGACGUAACGCUAACAGACUGAGCAGGGACACUCGGCAAGGCCUGCCUGUCCGCAUUCUCCCUGGCCUCUCUGAGCAGGAUUCUUCCUUCUGGGUGUGGGAAGGACCUUCCCUGGAAUGGGGGUCUUAUGACCUACAGUCAAACAAGGCGGGUGGCUGCAGAAGAGUCAUGAGGAAUGCCUCCCUGAAACCAGCCUUGCUACGCGGGGUCAGCUCCUGCCUUUGGCGUUGUGACUCGUUGGCAUGUGAUCUGAAGUUCCUGCCCUGCAGCUGACGAGCCAGUGUUUCAAUAAUUAAAAACAACUCAACUCACUGUCCUCCUGCCUUGAAUUUGAUCAUUGCGCUUUGCAUGUAUGUAUCACAAUACCACAUGUACCCCAUAAAUAUGUACAAAGAUUAUGUGUCAAUAAAAAACAAAAAUUAAAAUCCCAAUUUUUAAAAAGAAAA